AUUGAACGCUGGCGGCAGGCCUAACACAUGCAAGUCGAACGAGUGGCGGACGGGUGAGUAAUGUCUGGGAAACUGCCCGAUGGCGGGGGCUAACUACUGGAAACGGUAGCUAAUACCGCAUACCAUCGGAUGUGCCCAGAUGGGAUUAGCUAGUUGGUGGGGUAAUGGCUCACCUAGGCGACGAUCCCUAGCUGGUCUGAGAGGAUGACAAGCCACAGUGGAACUGAGACACGGUCCAGACUCCUAGGGGAGGCAGCAGGGGGGAAUAUUGCACAAUGGGCGAAAGCCUGAGGCAGCCAUGCCGCGUGAAUGAAGAAGGCCUUCGGGUUGUAAAGUACUUUCAGCGAGGAGGCGUGACUCGCAGAAGAAGCACCGGCUAACUCCGUGCCAGCAGCCGCGGUAUAC
rnacentral:rRNA from 1 species